GUCCUUUUGUAGCUCAUAAGCGUGAUGGUUGAGGGUUCAAGCGCACGUGUGAGAUGUACCUCCCUUAAACCUUGUCACAACAUCAGCACAUUAUCCAUCUGACA